GCUGAAGUCUCAAGGCCUGGAAGGGUCUUUAAACUUUGGCACUGACCCUGUCUGCAAUUCCCUCUUCCCACAAUCUCCCAGGGCCUGUGAACUGUGGGUGAUGCGCUUGUUACAAAAGUGGAAGCUGCAUAUGAAUGAAGCCACUCCCUGACAAGCUCCAGUCUCAAUUUCCUGGACUGCUCCAGCCCAUGCUGACUUCCUCCCCUCUGAAUUCCUGUUAUCACCGUUCUGAACUUAGUCAUCCGUGGCCUGCCACCUUGAAUCACGUAAUCUUUAUCUCCCUCAUGGAAGAAAGACUUCUGUAAUUCUCUUAUUUUCCCAUGGACCCCCCUCCACCCACACACAGGCAAUUGGGAGAGUCUCCACAACUACUCCUUGAAUGAACAGCAAGAGGUUCCAGGAGUGCCGUGGUAGUGGGUGGGGUGGGACAGGGUUGACCACAGGCGUGUCUCCAGCCAAAAACAUUUGGGGAACACAAGUGUUUCUAAAGAUGCUCCUGCCUGCCCCCCCCCCCCCAAUCUGUUCUUCAGUCCCUCCCCUCCUGCUGGGGAAUCAGUGACCUCAUAUCCACAAGCCCUGACAGCCCAACUCAUCCUGUCCCUUAACCUGGAACAA